AGCGUUGUCCGGAAUUAUUGGGCGUAAAGAGCGCGUAGGCGGUCCGAUAAGUCGGCUGUGAAAGUCAGGGGCUCAACCCUUGGAAGCCGGCCGAUACUGUCGGACUAGAGUCCGGAAGAGGCGAGUGGAAUUCCCGGUGUAGCGGUGAAAUGCGCAGAUAUCGGGAGGAACACCAAUGGCGAAGGCAGCUCGCUGGGACGGUACUGACGCUGAGGCGCGAAAGCGUGGGGAGCAAACAGG
rnacentral:rRNA from 1 species